rnacentral:rRNA from 1 species
CUACGGGCUGCUGCAGUGGGGAAUAUUGCACAAUGGGGGAAACCCUGAUGCAGCAACGCCGCGUGGAGGAUGACGCAUUUCGGUGUGUAAACUCCUUUUAUCAAGGAAGAAAUUUGACGGUACUUGAUGAAUAAGCACCGGCUAACUCCGUGCCAGCAGCCGCGGUAAUACGGAGGGUGCAAGCGUUACUCGGAAUCACUGGGCGUAAAGGACGCGUAGGCGGUUUGAUAAGUUGGAUGUGAAAUCCUAUGGCUUAACCAUAGAACUGCAUCCAAAACUGUUAAACUAGAAUGAGGGAGAGGUCAGUGGAAUUAGUGGUGUAGGGGUAAAAUCCGUAGAGAUCACUAGGAAUACUCAUAGCGAAGGCGACUGACUGGAACUUUAUUGACGCUGAGGCGUGAAAGCAUGGGGAGCAAACAGGAUUAGAUACCCUUGUAGUC